rnacentral:rRNA from 1 species
AAAUGCGUAGAUAUAUGGAAGAACACCAGUGGCGAAGGCGGCUGUCUGGUCUGCAACUGACGCUGAGGCUCGAAAGCAUGGGUAGCGAACAGGAUUAGAUACCCUGGUAGUCCAUGCCGUAAACGAUGAUUACUAAGUGUUGGAGGGUUUCCGCCCUUCAGUGCUGCAGCUAACGCAUUAAGUAAUCCGCCUGGGGAGUACGACCGCAAGGUUGAAACUCAAAAGAAUUGACGGGGGCCCGCACAAGCGGUGGAGCAUGUGGUUUAAUUCGAAGCUACGCGAAGAACCUUACCAGGUCUUGACAUCUUCUGACAGUCUAAGAGAUUAGAGGUUCCCUUCGGGGACAGAAUGACAGGUGGUGCAUGGUUGUCGUCAGCUCGUGUCGUGAGAUGUUGGGUUAAGUCCCGCAACGAGCGCAACCCUUAUUACUAGUUGCCAGCAUUAAGUUGGGCACUUUAGUGAGACUGCCGGUGACAAACCGGAGGAAGGUGGGGACGACGUCAAAUCAUCAUGCCCCUUAUGACCUGGGCUACACACGUGCUACAAUGGAUGGUACAACGAGUCGCGAGACCGCGAGGUUAAGCUAAUCUCUUAAAACCAUUCUCAGUUCGGACUGUAGGUUGCAAC